rnacentral:rRNA from 1 species
UGGGGGAUAUUGCACAAUGGGCGAAAGCCUGAUGCAGCGACGCCGCGUGGGGGAUGAAGGCUUUCGGGUUGUAAACCUCUUUCGCUAUCGAACAAGGCCCGCUUAGGGUGGGUUGAGGGUAGGUGGAGAAGAAGCGCCGGCUAACUACGUGCCAGCAGCCGCGGUAAUACGUAGGGCGCGAGCGUUGUCCGGAAUUAUUGGGCGUAAAGGGCUUGUAGGCGGCUUGUUGCGCCUGCUGUGAAAACGCGGGGCUUAACUUCGCGCGUGCAGUGGGUACGGGCAGGCUUGAGUGUGGUAGGGGUGACUGGAAUUCCAGGUGUAGCGGUGGAAUUCGCAGAUAUCUGGAGGAACACCGAUGGCGAAGGCAGGUCACUGGGCCAUUACUGACGCUGAGGAGCGAAAGCAUGGGUAGCGAACAGG